AGAGAGAGACAUGCGCGCAUAUCAAUAAGCGGAGGAAAAGAAACUAACAAGGAUUCCCUUAGUAACGGCGAGUGAAGCGGGAAGAGCUCAAAUUUGAAAUCUUCAAGGUUCUACCUUGACGAAUUGUAGUUUAUAGAAGUGUUUUCUGUUAGUGGAGUGGCAAAAGUUCUUUGGAAUAGGACAUCAUAGAGGGUGAGAAUCCCGUAUUUGGUCAUUCCUCCUAGCGUUGUGAUACACUUUCAACGAGUCGGAUUGUUUGGGAAUGCAGUCCAGAAUGGGUGGUAAAUUUCAUCUAAAGCUAAAUAUUGGCGAGAGACCGAUAGCGAACAAGUACCGUGAGGGAAAGAUGAAAAGAACUUUGAAAAGAGAGUUAAACAGUACGUGAAAUUGUCAAAAGGGAAGCGUUUGACACCAGUGUUGUUUUCUCGAAAAUCAAUUACGAAUGUUUUAUUUUUGAGGAGUUAUGACUUCAUCGGCUUGCUCCUUUCUUUAUGAAACUUUCUUAAUGCACUUUUCGGUUAACAAGUCAACAUCAAUUUCUUUUGUUGUAAAAGGGUAUGAGGAAGGUGGCUUUCUUUUCGGAGAAAGUGUUUAUAGCCUUGUGCCUCUGCAAUCGGAGAGAUUGAGGUCUGCAGCGUAGAUCCUUCGGGGUUAGAUACAUUUGUGCUAAGUUAUAGCUUUUCAUAGACAACUUGUUGACUAUGUUUAGUCUUGUAGCUUACUCGCUUACUGCUAUUUUACCUACGCUUAGGAUGUUGAUAGUCACAGCGUGUAC
rnacentral:rRNA from 1 species